rnacentral:lncRNA from 1 species
CUUUUCAAAUUUAAUGCAUCCUGGGAACAUGCCGUUCAGGAUUUUGGCAUGGGAACUUCAAACGAAGUUGGUAAGGGAGGCAAAAUGCGUAAGUGGAAACUUUGAGGAAGCUGGCAGCCUGGCUGGAAGUCAGUCUUUUCGUUCGCUCCACCCCCUCUCAUGAGUUCAAUGAAUUCUCCAACUUCCUCACAAUGGCGAGAGGCAACCCAGUGGAGUCCUGGUCAACAGUGUGAGCACUGCUGUGAUGUUUGCUGCUUCUGCUUCCUGCAAGGCCCCAUGUUCUCCCUCCCCUCACCUGCUAGACUGAAGCAGUGUGUGCAGCAGAGGACUCCAAAGCCCUCACCAAGAAAUGGCAAAGCCCUGGGAUACGAAGGCCAAGGUCCCUGAGCAACUGUUGGCAGUAG